AGAGUUUGAUCCUGGCUCAGGACGAACGCUGGCGGCGUGCCUAACACAUGCAAGUCGAGCGAGUGGAUCUCCUUCGGGAGUGAAGCUAGCGGCGGACGGGUGAGUAACACGUGGGCAACCUGCCUCAUAGAGGGGAAUAGCCUUUCGAAAGGAAGAUUAAUACCGCAUAAGAUUGUAGCUUCGCAUGAAGUAGCAAUUAAAGGAGCAAUCCGCUAUGAGAUGGGCCCGCGGCGCAUUAGCUAGUUGGUGAGGUAACGGCUCACCAAGGCGACGAUGCGUAGCCGACCUGAGAGGGUGAUCGGCCACAUUGGGACUGAGACACGGCCCAGACUCCUACGGGAGCA
rnacentral:rRNA from 1 species